GGUAGUCGAAUAUGAUAAGGUAAGUGAUUCAUGUAAUCACUUCUUAGUACAAGUAAGUAAUAUACUGUUUAAAUUAAUUGAACAUAAUGUUUGAAGUCAUAUAUGUGAUGAAGUCUUUCAUUGUAAAUGAUUGAAUUAAAGUUGACCAAAAUGCCCUUGAAGGGUAUUUUGGGCAAACGAUAGUAAAAAGUGGUUUAGAACCAAGUUGUUCGAUCAAUGUAAUGUUUUAGAUAAGUAUGGAAGUGAGAAGUAUGGUCUUUGUAAUCCAUAGACCUUACAAUGCGUAAAUACCCAUUACGGGUCAAAAUGAGCUUUUGAGCGAAAAAUAGAUUAAGAGAACGCUAGACAUCCGAGAAUUUAAUCUUUAUGAUAGGCGUCAAUGAAACCAUUAAGUUCUUAUGAGAUUGAGGUCAAUUAAACAGUUUACGAUGAUAACUGCACGAACGGGUCAAAUAAUUAGAAGGUCAUAAUAAGCCGAAUGCAUGUAAGUUAAGAAUUUCCUUAAUCCGGAUGUGGGAUUUUAAGUUUAUAUGAUGGAAUGUGAAUUUACAAGCGUGUAGGAGGAAACAGGAGGUUAAACGGGUCAAAAGUUACGCGCGUUUUAGUGCGCUCGGACGACGAAACGGAUCUGCAAAAAAAAGGACUUUUCUAGAGGCCGUCGCCGACGGGUUCCCACCCCGUCGCCGACGGGCUCCCAAAAGCACGAAAGAGGCCGACGGCUUAAAUGACUGGUUACGGGACUUUUGGGCGACGGGUAUAAGGAGAGGCCGUCGCCGACGGGUCCCCACCCCGUCGCCGACGGGUUGACCAGCCCGAUUCUCUGUUUUUGCUUUGUGUAACAUUUCCGAGUGAUUCGUAACGCAUUCCGGUGUAUCACUCGAUGAUUCGUAAAGCUUCUCAUGAAAAUAUAGGCAAGUACCUUCGAAGAUAAGCAAGUAUGUACGUUUGUAUGCAUUUGUUCACGUAUGUAGAAGUUAUGUAAGUAAGGUAUGCGUGACCGUAGGUAUGUUUAUAGUAUGUGGGUUCUAUACGUAUGUAUGUUUUAUAACUCUAAGAGUACGUAAGUAAGUAAGUAAAUACGUGUGUUGAUUUAGACACAUUGAGGGCUAACGUUAUUAAUGGUGUACCUGGAGAAUGAUAAGUAAUGCAGGUACACUCAUGAAGCCUCACCAGGAAAUGGAUACGCAGAUGAAAUGCUGGAAGUUUGUAAAAGAAUGAAAUGUGAAGUGUACACGUAUAAUCUUGUCUUAUGUUGUGUGCUAAUGUUUUGAAGGCAUGUAAUAAGACAUAAUGACCCAGGUACGUAAAUUUAGCGUACGGGUGCAUGUAAUGCUAAAAUUUAGUGAGCGAAGGAAAAUUUUAAUAAAACCUAAUAACAGAAUGGAAACGAAGAAAUAAAAACUAGACGGGUUAAAGAAGAUGAGAAAAAGGUUUCGGGGACGAAACCUUCUUUAAGGGGGGUAGAUUUGUAACACCCCAACACUCGAAUUAUUAAAUUCGUUAGUAGGUUACUUUGGGUAAUUAGAUGAAGUACAACAACUAAGUUAUUAAACUUAGUUAAAUGUCUAAUAAAUAAGUAAAGGAAUGAAGUUUGUGGCAACUAUGAUGAUGUAUUAGAGUUGAGGGACCUAGAUUGCCAUAAUGUAAACUAAAAUAUAAUAAAAAAAAAGAAAGAAAAAAUAAAACCACAACACACACUGUGCGUGUGUGUGGUCGAUCGCACAAGGCAGAGGGAAAGGGGUAAACCCUAAUUCUCAAGAAAUCUCCAAAUUGAAAAGGGAAUUGAAGGAUUUUAGGAUGCAUGUAUCAAGAUUAUCGAUCUCCUAAGUGUUCUUCACUAUCAAGAACGUGUCAAGGAGAGGUCAAGCAUAGGAGGAUAACGGGUCAAGAUAAGGCAAGGUGACAAAUACACUUAAUGGAGUACUCGAGGUAAGUGAAUUUCGAUUCACUUUUUAGUAGGUUUAAUAGAUUUUAAUACUUAUGUUUACGAAACAUCAUGAAAGAACAUGUAAUAAUCAGAAGUACAAAGCCAAUAAUGCCUCAUUAUCGAGGAAGGUUGUAUUAAGCCGAAAGUAAAUUGGUGGGUUUAAACGGGUCGAAUUUUAUGUGCAUAUGUUGCGUAAUGUAAUAAAAUUCGUUAUGGUUAAGACCUUGGGUAGGAAUUUUUAGUCAUUAUGUAAGGGGAACACUUCCCGGACCAUUAGGAACAAGUUUUAUAUGAUUCGGUUGUCGGUUUGUUAAUGAACGGAUUGUUUCAUGUUAGUGUAGGAAAUUUUAUAAGUAUAUGUGUAUAGGAACCCAAAGGGUACGUGGGUUGAAUCAUAGAUUGUUUAUACUAUGUAAAGUUGUGAAUGUGACAUUCCGGCAUAAACCUACAUGUAAAAGAAGCUUGUGUAUAUAUUCGUGAUUAAUUGAUUGUGCGUAGGAAGGAACAUUGGCAUGUAUGAAGGUACGCAUGUAUAUGUAAGUGUGUAUAUAUAUAUAUAUAUAUGUAUGUAUGAUAAUAAGUACGUAGGUGUGAAUGUAUGUGUGAAUGAAUGUUCAAUGCUUAAGACAUAUGCAUGAACGUUAUCAAAGUGUUCGAGUAUUUAUGGUUACUAAUGAUGUGCGUUGAGUUGGAAUGUAAUGUAGGUAUGGGAUCGUUGGCUUCAUGAUGAAAUGGAGCUGGAUUUGGAUAAGAGUAUUUAAGAAAGCGCUUGGACAAUUCCACGACUACUUUAUAGAAUGCUCUACGAAAUUCUAUUAUAUAGUUUAAUGUUGUAUGGUAUGUUAAUGACUAAUGGUUUGGUUGUACGUGGUGUCCACAGGUAUCGCUUGGGUUUUCUCUACAUUUAUUGAAGUGAAGCGGACUUAGUUCGAGUUGAGAGCAAGGAUUGUACGGGGUAGAAUGGUCACAUAGUGUAACUCAUAUAGAUUUUGAAGUAUUUGAACCUUCAUGUGUUUGAUAUGUCUAUUAAAGAACGAAAUUUUUGGGCUCUUGUUUUCUGCUGCGUCGUAUUUUAAGUUAUUAUACGUUAGUCUUACAGGGAAUUGUUCUUAUUACGAACGGGUCAUGCCCGAAUUUUGUUAAAUAAUAGUAUGAUAAUAUUACA